GCCCGCUUAGCUCAAUGGAUAGAGCGCCUGACUUCGGAUCAGGAGGUUGCGA
rnacentral:tRNA from 1 species